UAUACGCACGCAUGUGUGUGCUCCACAGGCUCUCACUUACAGAGUAAAAUGAGCAACCCCUUGAGUUAAUAGAUUAUACUGAAAUAGUUAAUUGGUACUCCUUUCUAAUCUAUCUAAGGAAGAACUUGAGAAGCUUGUCCAAAAGAAGGUUAGCAGUUUUUUUUGUAAUUUUAUUCCUUGUUUAGUUAUUGUUACAAGACAAUGUUAUAUGGUGUUAGCUUUAACACGAUCUGUAGUAUAAGUUAUUGUUUUGUUUUAGUUGAUGGAUUUGUAAUAAUACAGCUAGAAUAUCCUAACAUUGACAUUCAUAAGGAAUGAAAGUACUUGAUGCUUGCUGUUCAGGAAUUGGUCUUAGGGGAUCAGUGUGAAGGAAGAUUUGUAUUUAGCCGUGACAGCCGGAAGCCUAAGGACUCUAAUGACGAAAAUAUAUUUACAAAAGAUGGAACUAAACUUAAGAACUUGCUCCAAACACUUUUGAUGCGAGCUGAGCAUUCCCGUCAAAAUACUAAAUUUAUCUGAAGACAAAUGAUGGAAUUUAAAGGUUAAAUUAACAUCAUCUGAUAAUAUGGGAGGUGGGUUUAGGUUGCUGCACUUAGUGCGAAUCCAUUCUAUUGGAUGUGUUAUCUUUGCUUCAAAAUGUGGAACUCUCUUGGAGCUUUGAAUCACUCCCAUUGUAACUUUUGAGAUGGUCAUGAUACUUCUGGCUGGAUCAAAGAUCAUUGAAAAUCGGACCCUUUUGUAAGUGUACUAAUUUUUAUCCUUUAACGAAUAGCUUAAUUUCAUAUGGUCUUACAAUUUAGAUGAUUAGAGUAUAUCCUACUCUAGGGCUGAUCUAUUGUUUAUUGCUGUUAUAUCCUGUUGAGUAUGAUACAGUUCAUCGAGAUUACGGUUGUAAGAUAAUUGUGGAGCAUGCUCAAUUGAAUCUGUUUAACAAAAUCAAUUAUGAUUUAGGGGUCUAUAUUGAAUUAGAUGAGCUUCUUCAAAAACGAUAUGGUCUUGGUUCUAGAAUUUCUCUAUUCAUGGCGACUAAUAUUUGGUAUGUUUUAGUAUAUAAAUUUGUACUCAUCAUUAUCGAGGAUUUAACAUGAAAUCACAUUGACUCACUCGAGAUCUUAGCUAAUUAUUUUUAUAAAAUUCUCAUGAAGCUUCAGAAAAUGUGGUGCAUAUUUAU